GAUGAACGCUGACAGAAUGCUUAACACAUGCAAGUCUACUUGAACUUCGGUUUGGGUGGCGGACGGGUGAGUAACGCGUAAAGAACUUGCCUUACAGUUAGGGACAACAUUUGGAAACGAAUGCUAAUACCUGAUAUUAUGAUCUUAGGGCAUCCUAAGAUUAUGAAAGCUAUAUGCACUGUGAGAGAGCUUUGCGUCCCAUUAGCUAGUUGGAGAGGUAACGGCUCACCAAGGCGAUGAUGGGUAGCCGGCCUGAGAGGGUGAACGGCCACAAGGGGACUGAGACACGGCCCUUACUCCUACGGGAGGCAGCAGUGGGGAAUAUUGGACAAUGGACCAAAAGUCUGAUCCAGCAAUUCUGUGUGCACGAUGACGUUUUUCGGAAUGUAAAGUGCUUUCAGUUGGGAAGAAAAAAAUGACGGUACCAACAGAAGAAGGACGGUA
rnacentral:rRNA from 1 species